ensembl:lincRNA
UCCAGGUUCUAUUUUUUUUUGCAUUCUUAGUGUCUGGCACAUUGUCUGACACAGUGUAAAAGCUGAGUAGAAUUUGCCUGAUAGCAGAUGUGCCUAAAGUGAGGGUGUCCAAAAUUUCAUUAAAUGACGACUGCUUAAUAUGAAUUCUUGGCUAAGGCAGGAGAAUCGCUUGAACCCAGGAGGCAGAGGUUGCAGUGAGCCGAGAUCACACCACUGCACUCCAGCCUUGUGAGAGAGGGAGACUGCAUCUCAAAAAAAAAAAAAUAUAUAUAUAUAUAUAUAUAUAUGAAUUCUUACUGAUAGUAUUAAAUGAUUAUCUCUUUACAUUCACAGUAAUGUCUUACAAUAACAGAAUGCAGGGAGACAAUAUCAAUGAAGAAAAGACAAAAUGUACUUAUCCAUGAAGCUGAGGUUAAGAAACCAGUGUCUUCAAGAGCCAGGACAGCACUGGGUCUGUGCAGAGUUGAGAGAUGGUGAUGACAUGUGACAGAGCUCCUUGCUGCUCAAAUUUUAUGCCAGAUAAAAUAUUCACCUUCUCGGACUCCCUGGCACCAGGCAUGGCCAUGUAAUGUAAGUGUAGGCAAUGAGACUAGGUAUGGACCCAUUAGGGGUUUCUUAGAAUGUUUUUGCUUUUCUAAUAUAGACAACCCUUUGUCUCUUUCUCUUUCUCCAGCCUACAGCACAGCUGAUGAAAGAGAAGCCAUCUUGCUGCUAUUUGAGAAGCAAGAAGAUAAAAGCUUUCCUAUAAAGAUGAUGGAGCAAAAAGAUAGAAGGGGCCUAGACUCCCUACCUUCACACUUCCUGCUAUAAAAGCAUUGCUAUUAUAAGGUUAAUCUGCAGAAACAGACUUCUAUGUCAUAUGCUUAAAUGCAUCAAAAUUCAUACAAUAUCCAUUAAAUUGGUAAAAGUAUCCAUUUUAAAGGAUUAAUCUGAGGGACCCACAGACACUUAACACAAUCAAAUCUCAGAAAAAAAAUCAGUUAUUUCAUUGUGAUUUUGAGGCUGAUCUUUUAUGAUCUUUUAGUUAUCAAACUGUUAAAUACAUUUUAACUUUCAAAUUUUAUGAAUAAAGGAGAUGAAUCCUGUUAUUUUCUCAGUGUGAGUGUGAUGAUGUGUGCCAUGUGUGCCUAUGUAUGCACACACAUGUACUCAAGGAGCCUGAAGGGGACCAUGACUUUCUGGGCACUCAAUGCUACUUAUCUCUAACUCCUCCUUCAAAUCUCCCCAUUCUAAGUCUACUUCCUUAGGGAAUAGGUACAAAUAUAUCCCAUUAAACAUGAUUUAAGGAUGUAUUUAUUUUAAACUUGUCAUCACUGGUGGUUGGAGUGUGUGUGUGUGUGUGUGUGUGUGUGUGUGUGUGUGAAUUCUGACUCAUUUAUUUUAUCUGAUGGUAAGAUACCCUAUUGAAGAGAUAUUUAUUUAUAGAGCCAAACAAUGAGCUUCUUUCUCACUCUUGGACUUCUGCUCUAGCUGUCAGCCACUCUGAAUAUAGAGAACAAUUAAUAGCCAGUGAUCUUUAAUUUGGGAGGGAGAGUAAUAUAACCAUUUCACAUAUUAGUAAUUUAAGCCCUAAAGUGACAUUUUUGUACAAAGUCAGUGCAGAUGCUGUCUGCCUUGAUAAUAAAAAUGGUCACUUUAAAUAUCACGUAAGCCACCCCAUCACAUCAUCUCAUUGAAAUGAAGGAAGAUGAAAAGUUACUGAGUCAAAACAAUACUUGAAGGAAAACAACUUCUCAAAGUCUGGAAGCUGUUUCCAUGGGAACUGGCUGGACUGAUAAAUAAUUGGAGGCCUUUGCAUAUAUUGUCCCUUAAAUGUGAGCAGCACUUGGGAGGAAGAAGGCUGAACAAGGCUGCAUUUUUGACCCACUACCCAUCCCUAUUACAGAGAUUUAGGGAUUUUGCCAAUCACAAAUUCAAACAGCCAUCCAUUUCCUGAAACAUAAUUUAAUUUUAGUGGUAGCUAGGGACAUUGCUUCCUUAGAUUUUACUACCCUCUGUGUACUGAUAUCCAUCAAACACACAGGAAAUGUGGUUCCUUGUAAAACAAUAUGAAUAAAGAAGGGUUGGGGAAAAUGUUACAUGGAAACUUGCAAUGUGAUAUCAACUGUAGGCAAGGACAGUACUUAUAAGCAAUGCUUGGGAGGUAUAUAAGAUUCUUAAAUACUGUUUCAGGGGGGAAAAAUUUAAAGACAAGACAAUCUGAAUGAUCCAGAAAUAAAGUAUCAACCUAGAAGACAGAAGAAGGCAACAGAUUAGGAUUCCUUUUCAUUAUAGUCAAGCAUACUUAAAGCUAGAAAUUGUUCAGAAAGUUACAUACAUUAAUCUGCCUUCUGAUUUAAGAAUACAAGGAGGCUUCUGUCAACACUUAAGUAGGUAGUGAGAGAUACCUACAGAAGCCUAUGUCCCUUUUUUUUCAUUUCAACUUUUAGUUACAGGGGUUACACGUGUAGAUUUGUUACAUGGGAAUAUUAUGUGAUGCUGAGGUUUGGAGUAUAGAUCCCGUCAUCCAGGUAGUGAGCAUAGUACCCAAUAGGUAGUUGUUUAACCCACUCACCAUUCUCUCUACUCUCCAGUAGUCCACAGUGUCUGGUUGUUCCCAUACUUAUGUCCAUGUUUUUAGCUCCCACUUACAAGUAGAAACAUGAAGUAUUUGUUUUUCUAUUUCUGCAUUAAUUUAUUUAGGAUUAUGACCUCCAGGUCCAUCCACGUUGCUGCAAAAAUAUGAUUUCAUUCAUUUUUGUUGGAUGCAUAGUGUUCCAUUGUGUAUAUGUACCCCAUUUCCUUUAUCCAAUCUACGGUUGAUGGACACCUGGGUUGAUUCCCUGUCUUUGCUAUUGUAAAUAGUGUAACAAUGAACAUACGAGUGCCUGUGUUUUUCUGGUAGAAUGAUUAAUUUUCUUUUGGGUAUAUACCCAGUGAUGGGAUUGCUGGAUCAAAUGGUAGCUCUGUUUUAAGUUCUUUGGGAAAUCUCCAGAGUGUUUUCCACAGCAGCUGGACUAAUUUACAUUCCUCCAACUGUGUAUAAGCAUUCUCUUUUUGACCCAGCCUUGCCAGCAUCUGUUGUUUUUGACUUUUUAAUAAUAGCCAUUCUGACUGGUGUGAGAUGGUAUCUCACUGUGGUUAUGAUUUCCAUUUCUCUGGUGAUUAAUUAUGAUGAGUGUUUUUUCAUCACUUGUAUGUGUUUGUUGGCCACUUGUAUGUAUUCUUUUGAGUAGUGUCUGUUCAUGUC